CCUCUACAGGGCCAAGUACAGAUCUUUUGCCCAUCUUCUUCCACUCUCCUCCUUCAGCCCACCGCCGAUCUCUCAUGGAGAUCUCUGGAGCUGACGACAGGUUCGAGAGGCACAGAGCGAGGAAGCUUGCCGCGUGGAGGCUGGCCGUCCUGAAGGAAGAGAGCCAGAUCGGUGAGCACUCCAGAAGGCUCGAUGAGCUCCGGUUCCUGAUUGGCGAGGAGCUGGAGAAACUGAAGACGGCGAGCGCAGAGUUGAGGAACCUGGACAGAGUCAGGUGCGCUGCGUUCUCUGGGUUUUCCCUCCACUGAUCCAGAGAGAAAGAUAGUCGACCUCUUUGACUUGUUAUCAGGCGAGCAUCUGUGGCCAUCCAAGUGUGGCAGCCUGAAGUCGUCCGCAGCAGCCAGAGGCA
rnacentral:lncRNA from 1 species